rnacentral:rRNA from 1 species
UACGUAGGUGGCAAGCGUUAUCCGGAAUUAUUGGGCGUAAAGCGCGCGCAGGCGGUUUCUUAAGUCUGAUGUGAAAGCCCACGGCUCAACCGUGGAGGGUCAUUGGAAACUGGGGAACUUGAGUGCAGAAGAGAAAAGCGGAAUUCCACGUGUAGCGGUGAAAUGCGUAGAGAUGUGGAGGAACACCAGUGGCGAAGGCGGCUUUUUGGUCUGUAACUGACGCUGAGGCGCGAAAGCGUGGGGGGCAAACAGG